UACGGAAUGUGCAAACGUUAUUCGGAAUCACUGGGCUUAAAGAGUCCGUAGGCGGCUUGUUAGGUGAGGUGUGAAAUCCCUCGGCCCAACCGAGGAAUUGCGCUUCAAACCGGCAAGCUAGAGGAGAAUAGAGGUGGGCGGAACUGAUGGUGGAGCGGUGAAAUGCGUUGAUAUCAUCAGGAACACCGGAGGCGAAGGCGGUCCACUGGGUCCUUUCUGACGCUGAGGGACGAAAGCUAGGGGAGCGAACGGG
rnacentral:rRNA from 1 species